rnacentral:rRNA from 1 species
AUUGAACGCUGGCGGCAUGCUUUACACAUGCAAGUCGAACGGAUUUUGGAGCUUGCUCCAGAGUUAGUGGCGAACGGGUGAGUAAUAUAUCGGAACGUACCCGGCAAUGGGGGAUAACGUAGCGAAAGUUACGCUAAUACCGCAUAUGCCCUGAGGGGGAAAGCAGGGGACCAGUAAUGGCCUUGCGUUGUCGGAGCGGCCGAUAUCGGAUUAGCUAGUUGGUGAGGUAAAGGCUCACCAAGGCGACGAUCCGUAGCGCGUCUGAGAGGAUGGUCCGCCACACUGGGACUGAGGCGCGGCCCAGACUCCUACGGGAGGCAGCAGUGGGGAAUUUUGGACAAUGGGCGAAAGCCUGAUCCAGCCAUGCCGCGUGAGUGAAGAAGGCCUUCGGGUUGUAAAGCUCUUUCAGGUGGAAAGAAAAGGUUACGGAUAAUACCUGUAACUGAUGACGGUACCAUCAGAAGAAGCACCGGCUAACUACGUGCCAGCCGCCGCGGUAACAC